rnacentral:rRNA from 1 species
UACGAAGGGGGCUAGCGUUGUUCGGACUUACUGGGCGUAAAGCGCACGUAGGCGGCUCGUUAAGUCGGGGGUGAAAUCCUGGAGCUCAACUCCAGAACUGCCUUCGAUACUGGCGAUCUUGAGUCCGGAAGAGGUGAGUGGAACUCCUAGUGUAGAGGUGGAAUUCGUAGAUAUUAGGAAGAACACCAGUGGCGAAGGCGGCUCACUGGUCCGGUACUGACGCUGAGGAACGAAAGCUAGGGUAGCGAACGGG